CCCUAUGGGGCGCAGCAGUGGGGAAUAUUGCACAAUGGGCGAAAGCCUGAUGCAGCGACGCCGCGUGAGCGAAGAAGUAUUUCGGUAUGUAAAGCUCUGUCAGCAGGGAAGAAAAUGACGGUACCUGACUAAGAAGCCCCGGCUAACUACGUGCCAGCAGCCGCGGGAAUACGUAGGGGGCAAGCGUUAUCCGGAUUUACUGGGUGUAAAGGGAGCGUAGACGGCAGUGCAAGUCUGGAGUGAAAGCCUGGGGCUCA
rnacentral:rRNA from 1 species